rnacentral:sRNA from 1 species
UUUGAGAAGCCCUCUGCCGUGAGGGGGUUCAUUCUUCAUGAUUCGGUAAUAUGAGAUCGAGAGACGCUACUGGCCUUUUGAAUUUUCUUUAUUUUAUUUCUCGUUUUUUUGUCUUGUUAUGCGGGACCCAUGCCACCUGAUCUUGAUUGCUUGGUGCCUACAUAUCAAGUCUUGAUAGAAUCCAAGCAGUCACUGCCAUCAAGUGUGGCAGUUUUAUAUAUUUCACUUGCUCCGAUCUUGUGCCACCACUUCAUAGGUUUUUCUCGAGUGAAGUACGCGACAAUGAAUGUUUUAUAAAUACAAAACCGGCGAGUGAUUUGAGGUUUUGUUUCGUAUGAUAUUGGGGCUAGAUCCCUCUAUCAAUCGUUUUAUCGAUGAUAGUAUAUUCACCGUGGAAUAUCUCCAAAUUUCUCAAUGAAGUC